rnacentral:lncRNA from 1 species
GCUGUUGCAACUUGCAAUAGCAGUAAAGCUAACGUAUGAGAGCAGUGAGUGUACUGGAAAAAAGCUUUCUCCGGAUAGGAGCAAGCUACGGCAGCCAUGGCAAUCCUCGCUCUGCCUCUGGUCAUCUCUGUCCUGAAACCUCAGGCGUCCCGCUUUCUCUUCCUUUGCUCCGUCGGUGACCUCAACCCCAACCGCCUCCGAUUAUCCCGCCGCCACUUCAGAAGAACGGCUGUGUCCUCGCCUUGCACACCCUGCCUUCGCUGAGCACCUCUGCCUUUCAGCAGCUGCAGUCGUCCACGGAGCCGAAGACUGAGCCUCGUAAGUCCUCCAGCCUCACCUUUCAACAAGCAAUUCAGCGACUCCAGGCGAGUGUUUUUUUCCCUCUCCAUUUGUUUCAUCGUUGCUCAUAAAUCGUCUUAGCUUCUAUAAUUUUGUUUUUUUUUUUAAAAAGGGCUGUUAUUGGGUGUUCUGCUUCUGCAGGACUACUGGGCUUCUGUUGGUUGUGCG